UACGGAGGGUGCAAGCGUUAUCCGGAUUCAUUGGGUUUAAAGGGUGCGUAGGCGGGAAAUUAAGUCAGUGGUGAAAGCCCACAGCUCAACUGUGGAACUGCCAUUGAAACUGAUUUUCUUGAAUAUGAUUGAAGUGGGCGGAAUAUGACAUGUAGCGGUGAAAUGCUUAGAUAUGUCAUAGAACACCGAUAGCGAAGGCAGCUCACUAAGUCAUUAUUGACGCUGAGGCACGAAAGCGUGGGGAGCGAACAGG
rnacentral:rRNA from 1 species